rnacentral:rRNA from 1 species
CUUACACAUGCAAGUCGAGCGGAGACGAUACCAGCUUGCUGGUAGGCGUCGAGCGGCGGACGGGUGAGUAAUACUUAGGAAUCUACCUAGUAGUGGGGGAUAGCUCGGGGAAACUCGAAUUAAUACCGCAUACGACCUACGGGAGAAAGGGGGCAGUUUACUGCUCUCGCUUUUAGAUGAGCCUAAGUCGGAUUAGCUAGAUGGUGGGGUAAAGGCCUACCAUGGCGACGAUCUGUAGCUGGUCUGAGAGGAUGAUCAGCCACACCGGGACUGAGACACGGCCCGGACUCCUACGGGAGGCAGCAGUGGGGAAUAUUGGACAAUGGCGGAAACCCUGAUCCAGCCAUGCCGCGUGUGUGAAGAAGGCCUUUUGGUUGUAUAGCACUUUAAGCAGUGAAGAAGACUCCUCGGUUAAUACCCGUGGACGAUGACAUUAGCUGCAGAAUAAGCACCGGCUAACUCUGUGCCAGCAGCCGCGGUAAUACAGAGGGCGCAAGCGUUAAUCGGAAUUACUGGGCGUAAAGCGAGCGUAGGUGGCUUGAUAAGUCAGAUGUGAAAUCCCCGGGCUUAACCUGGGAACUGCAUCUGAAACUGUUAGGCUAGAGUAGGUGAGAGGAAGGUAGAAUUCCAGGUGUAGCGGUGAAAUGCGUAGAGAUCUGGAGGAAUACCGAUGGCGAAGGCAGCCUUCUGGCAUCAUACUGACACUGAGGCUCGAAAGCGUGGGUAGCAAACAGGAUUAGAUACCCUGGUAGUCCACGCCGUAAACGAUGUCUACUAGUCGUUGGGUCCCUUGAGGACUUAGUGACGCAGCUAGCGCAAUAAGUAGACCGCCUGGGGAGUACGGCCGCAAGGUUAAAACUCAAAUGAAUUGACGGGGGCCCGCACAAGCGGUGGAGCAUGUGGUUUAAUUCGAUGCAACGCGAAGAACCUUACCUGUCUUGACAUAUCUAGAAUCCUGCAGAGAUGCGGGAGUGCCUUCGGGAAUUAGAAUACAGGGUGCUGCAUGGCUGUCGUCAGCUCGUGUCGUGAGAUGUUGGGUUAAGUCCCGCAACGAGCGCAACCCUUGUCCUUAGUUACCAGCGGGUUAAGCCGGGAACUUUAAGGAUACUGCCGGUGACAAACUGGAGGAAGGCGGGGACGACGUCAAGUCAUCAUGGCCCUUACGACCAGGGCUACACACGUGCUACAAUGGUAGGUACAGAGGGCAGCUACACAGCGAUGUGAUGCGAAUCUCAAAAAGCCUAUUGUAGUCCAGAUUGGAGUUUGCAACUUGACUCCAUGAAGUAGGAAUCGUAGUAAUCGCGGAUCAGAAGCCGCGGU